GAUUUUUGGAACUAGGAGUUGGAAUA
rnacentral:piRNA from 4 species